UCAUCUCUUUACUCUUACAUCUUUCUUCUCUUUCACUCCGUUAUCAUACCAUUUAUCCACUUGUUCCUAUCAUUUAUCUAAGGAUUACUUCAGUUGAAAUAAAAUCCAAAUGAUGAUCAGUUUUUCUCCAAGCGAUGGGCGAGCAGUGUCAGCUUUAAAGUAUUUCAGUGGCCUUUCAAAGUUGCCUGCAGAAUUUUCUUGACUUUCUACACUUUGUUUUUGGACUUCAGGGGUAAUAUUGACAAAUUUAAAUAUUAACAGGUAAUUCUAGUUUUCGCUCUGCACUCGAUAUGUGAUGAUUAGGGGUGAGCAUCGGUUG